rnacentral:rRNA from 1 species
GUACUGUGCGAACGUUGUUCGGAAUUACUGGGCUUAAAGGGUGCGUAGGCGGUCAGUCAAGUCGGGUGUGAAAUCCCUCGGCUCAACCGAGGAACUGCGCCCGAAACUAAUUGGCUUGAGUGAGAUAGGGGUGUGCGGAACUUCCAGUGGAGCGGUGAAAUGUGUUGAUAUUGGAAGGAACACCGGUGGCGAAAGCGGCACACUGGGUCUCAACUGACGCUGAGGCACGAAAGCCAGGGGAGCGAACGGGAUUAGAUACCCCGGUAGUCCUGGCUGUAAACGUUGAGCACUAGACGGGAGGAGCUUCGGCUCAUCCGGUCGUAGCGAAAGCGAUAAGUGCUCCGCCUGGGGGAGUAUGGUCGCAAGGCUG